AACACUUGCUGUCACUCAUGCUAACUUCUUUCUUAUUGAAACAGCCUAUUUGUAUACAGUAUCUUAUCAUUUUGUGAAUCAAAACAGAAGAAUGAUAUUAGGAAGAAAGUCCUGUUAACAACUCACUGUUGGGCAAGUGAGCCGUCUCAGGCUCUGAAUUCCUCUGUCUCUGCGAUGGUGAUAACAACUUGGGCCUCGAGGUCUUAGCACCCUGAAGACAUGGACAAACACUUCUCAUCUUUCUGAUUCUUGGUUUAGCACAGAGCUGGUAAUUACAAAAGAUUUCUUCAAUCUCUGGAAGUGUUCAUGAGCUAUAGGGCCAUCCGGGCUGGAAGAGAUUCUGAAGACCUCGGGCAAGUCUGAACCUCAAGACAGAAACCUGAAUCCUGUGUCCUGCAGCUAAGGG
rnacentral:lncRNA from 1 species